UACGGGGGGGGCAAGCGUUGUUCGGAAUUACUGGGCGUAAAGGGCGCGUAGGCGGCAAUUCAAGUCAUCUGUGAAAUCUCCGGGCUUAACUCGGAACGGUCAGACGAUACUGCUUUGCUAGAGUGCGGAAGGGGCAAUCGGAAUUCUCGGUGUAGCGGUGAAAUGCGUAGAUAUCGAGAGGAACACCAGAGGUGAAGACGGGUUGCUGGGCCGACACUGACGCUGAAGCGCGAAAGCCAGGGGAGCAAACGGG
rnacentral:rRNA from 1 species